rnacentral:rRNA from 1 species
CGCCGCGGUAAUACAGAGACCUCAAGCGUUAUCCGGAUUUACUGGGCGUAAAGCGUCUGUAGGGGGUUUAUUAAGUUCCAAGUAAAAUUUCAAGGCUCAACUUUGAAUUCGCUUGGAAAACUAAUAAACUGGAGUCUAGCAGAGGUGCAUGGAACUUGUGGUGUAGGAGUGAAAUCCGUUGAUAUCACAAGGAACACCAAAGGCGAAGGCAUUGCACUGGGCUAGCACUGACCCUGAGAGACGAAAGCGUGGGGAGCAAAACGGAUUAGAUACCCGUGUAGUCCACGCCCUAAACGAUGAAUGCUAAAUGUUCGGGGAUUCGACCCCCUGGGUGUUACAGCUAACGCGUUAAGCAUUCCGCCUGGGAAGUACGGCCGCAAGGCUAAAACUCAAAGGAAUAGACGGGGAUCCGCACAAGCGGUGGAGCGUCUGGUUUAAUUCGACAGUAAGCGUGGUACCUCACCAGGGUUUGACAUCCCUUGACAGCCUUGGAAACAAGGUUUCCUUCGGGCAAGGUGACAGGUGCUGCAUGGUCGUCGUCAGUUCGUGCCGUGAGGUGUUCCGUUAAGUCGGGAAACGAACGAAACCCCUAUUGCAUGUUACAAUUUCUCAUGCAAGACUGCCCGGAUAUACUGGGAGGAAGGUGGGGAUGACGUCAGAUCUGCAUGGUCCUUAUACCCUGGGCGACACAGGCGCUACAAUGGCAGAGACAAAGGGUUGCAAAACCGCAAGGUGAAGCUAAUCCCAAAAACUUUGUCUAAGUUCGGAUUGAAGGCUGCAAUUCGCCUUCAUGAAGCUGGAAUCGCUAGUAAUCGUGAAUCAGCCACGUCACGGUGAAUAUGUUCCCGGAUC